GUCGUAACAAGGUUUCCGUAGGUGAACCUGCGGAAGGAUCAUUCGCACAAAGAAAUGUUCUAUUCCACCCGCCACGCACCACACAGUGCUUUCUGUUUUAUCAUUAGGAAAACAUUUUUUCCGUCUCGUCGAUGUUGCGAUCUCAUUGCAAUGUUUGCGAUGUUAUCUAUCUCUUGCGACGACGAAUGCCUUGGCUCGAGGAUCGUUGAAGGACGCAGCGAACUGUGCUAAACAUCUCGAAUUGCAGAUUUCCGAGAAAGAAAAGGAUUCUGAACGCAUUCUGCGAGUUGACCUCGUGUCAGCUCACGUGAUUGGCGGUGACCGAAAUAUGCAGUCGCUCGAACUCCGAAGUUUGAGUGGUUAUCACAUGUUGUCGCAAAGUUUUGCGCCGACGUGUUCGUGUCAUUCAGCGCGUCUCUCGUUUUCGAGCAGCAUUAUGAUUCGUUUCAUGAUGUUCGAAUUCAGUGAUGUGUCCGUUUUUGAAAACAUUUUUUUCGAAAACAUUUUUUUACGCACGCUCACGACCAGUCACGGGAUUACCCGCUGAAUUUAAGCAUAUAAAUAAGCGGAGGACAUCAAACUAACCAGGAUUCCCCUAGUAAUGGCGAAUGAACAGGGAAGAGCUCAAAUUUAUAACCGUGUUCAAGGAUACGGAAUGUGACCUCGUGUGCGUUCACCAGCUGCUCCUACGUCGUUAGUUGUUUGGAACAACACAUAAUCACGGGUGAAAAUCCCAUCUGUCGACCUUAUGGAGGCGCGUACGGUGUGCGUUCCCCGAGUCGCGCACCCUGGGACGGGUGCGUAAAUUCGGUGGUAAGUUUCAUCGAAAGCUCAAUAUUUCCUCGAGUCCGAUAGCGAACAAGUACCAUGAGGGAAAGGUGAAAAGUACUUUGAAAAGAGAGUUAAACGUGCCUGAAAUCGUUGUGAAUCAAGCGAUUGGAAUCAACGUCGUUAAGGAAUUGGGGCGCAAGUUGUUUCAUCCUGCUUUGACGAGUUUUCGUUCUGGUUGGUUUGGCGCGAUUUGUUGUUCCGGAUCCCUUGAAGACAUCUGACACUGGUGGAUGAGCCGUCUACACCGCCGUUUGAAAUUUCUUCGGAAUGAUCCUUCGGAAGUGGCGGCUUUUGCACUGGCGGUACGCAUAUUUUUGGACCGUUCUGGAUUUCUGAAUUCGUUAUUCUCUGUCGUACUUUCGGCUUGAAUGCGAGUGAUGAAAAAAGGGGCUCGAAAAAAUAUGUGGUGUCAGACCCGCAGGUUCCAAUUGACCCGUCUUGAAACACGGACCAAGGAGUUCAUACGCAUGUGCGAGUAUGUGAACAACAACGUUCAUAUGCGAAAUGAAAGUGAAAGGUAGAAUGUAAGCUCUACCGACCGACUACAUUCUUCGGCGUGAAGUUCGAGUGUGAGCGCAUGUGUUGGGACCCGAAAGAUGGUGAACUAUGCGUGA
rnacentral:rRNA from 1 species